rnacentral:rRNA from 1 species
UACGUAGGGGGCAAGCGUUGUCCGGAAUCAUUGGGCGUAAAGAGCGUGUAGGCGGCCAGAUAAGUCCGCUGUGAAAUCUCGAGGCUCAACUUCGAGCUGUCGGUGGAAACUGUCUGGCUAGAGUCCGGAAGAGGAGAAUGGAAUUCCUGGCGUAGCGGUGAAAUGCGCAGAUAUCAGGAAGAACACCCGUGGCGAAGGCGGUUCUCUGGGACGGUACUGACGCUGAGACGCGAAAGCGUGGGGAGCGAACAGG